AUUCAUGGCGUCCUCCCGCCUAGACACACGGAAGACCUCACUGGAGUUCCACUAUAUUUUCAGCAUUUAUAGAGGCGACAGUGCCGUGACAGAGGUGCUGGAGGUUAUUUAGGCACCAAGGAACAGAAAGUGAAGUGAUGACAUUCCCGACAGCGGCGAGACAAGAGCAGUGCAAGCCUUCACUACAAACCUCCACAUUUAUUUAAGGUUGAGGCGUGUAGAUGGAAGCAGUAGAAGAAAGAGAAAAAGAAGAGGACGAAGAAGAACGGAAAAAUGGAUGCGGAAGAAGAGGAGAAGCCAAGCCACAAUAUUUAGAUAAGUCCCCGUUUUAAUCUUGCCGUUCUUUGUAAUGCAUGCAUUUUGGUGUGUUUGGGGUAUAUCUGAAGUAUUUUAAGUGUGCUUGGUAGUGUUGCAGUGUGUUUUGGGUGUACUUUGUGUGUUUUCAGUGUGUGUUAGAUGCUUUUAGGUAUAUUUUACAUAU